GCAAGCAAAACAAAGUCUGCCUCCCCAAAGGUUUAGUUCUGCAUUAUAGAGCUUAACUAAUUAACUGGUUUUGGUGAUGUUUGAGGAUAUUCAAAUAUCCUGUGCUCUGCUCAUGUUCCAUUAUUUAUUCAACAGGAACGAGGUCUCACUGCAGUGUUUUCCUGCGAUGUUUUAAAGCAUCACAGAAGCUUGUCUUGAGCCAAGAAUAUAGUAACAUCAUACUGGAAAUCAUGGGAAGAGAGGCUUGUUCCUAUCCAAGCAUAGAAAGAAUAAUAAUAAUAAAAAGGCUUUGACGUGGAGAGGACUCACCUUGAUAACAGAUGGAACAUCCCAACACAUGCUGACCUGCCAGAGAUACCACCUCCUAUCAUCAGCUUGCAAGAACAGGCCACUGCUUCUGUGCUUGAUGCCUGUUUUGUUUUAUUUUGUUUUGGUCUUGCACCUGCAACAGUGAUGUUCUGAGAGGCCCUAGAAGACACAAUGCACCUUCUGCUCUUUAUUGCAGGAGCGGGACUUAAGUGAUAAGAGUUGUGGAGCAUUAGUGGAGGAUGCUCGGUGCUAGAGGGGAGGAGGGAUAUUUU
rnacentral:lncRNA from 1 species